GGGCCGGUGGCGGAACCGGUAGACGCAGGGGACUUAAAAUCCCCUGGGCAUCGCGCCCGUGUGGGUUCGAGUCCCACCCGGCCCA
rnacentral:tRNA from 1 species